rnacentral:pre_miRNA from 1 species
CAAAAUGUUUUCGAUACUUAGUUAGCAUUGGCUGUUUCUAUGCUAUUUUAUGGUCAUAGUACAGCCAGUGCUCACUUCAUUUCGGAUUCAAUAAC